rnacentral:rRNA from 1 species
UACGAAGGGGGGCUAGCGUUGCUCGGAAUCACUGGGCGUAAAGCGCACGUAGGCGGAUUGCUAAGUCAGGGGUGAAAUCCUGGAGCUCAACUCCAGAACUGCCUUUGAUACUGGCAACCUAGAGACUGGAAGAGGUUAGUGGAAUUCCCAGUGUAGAGGUGAAAUCGUAGAUAUUGGGAAGAACACCAGUGGCGAAGGCGGCUAACUGGUCCAGCACUGACGCUGAGGUGCGAAGCGUGGGGAGCAAACAGGAUUGAGA